UACGAAGGGGGCUAGCGUUGCUCGGAAUCACUGGGCGUAAAGGGUGCGUAGGCGGGUCUUUAAGUCAGGGGUGAAAUCCUGGAGCUCAACUCCAGAACUGCCUUUGAUACUGAAGAUCUUGAGUUCGGGAGAGGUGAGUGGAACUGCGAGUGUAGAGGUGAAAUUCGUAGAUAUUCGCAGGAACACCGGUGGCGAAGGCGACAUCCUGGACCGGUAUUGACGCUGAGGCGCGAAAGCCAGGGGAGCAAACGGG
rnacentral:rRNA from 1 species